rnacentral:rRNA from 1 species
CAGCCGCCGCGGGAAUACGUAGGGUGCAAGCGUUAUCCGGAAUUAUUGGGCGUAAAGAGCUCGUAGGCGGUUUGUCGCGUCUGCUGUGAAAACUGGAGGCUCAACCUCCAGCCUGCAGUGGGUACGGGCAGACUAGAGUGCGGUAGGGGAGAUUGGAAUUCCUGGUGUAGCGGUGGAAUGCGCAGAUAUCAGGAGGAACACCGAUGGCGAAGGCAGAUCUCUGGGCCGUAACUGACGCUGAGGAGCGAAAGCGUGGGGAGCGAACAGGAUUAGAUACCCGCGUAGUCCCUGUCUCUUAUAC